UUGUUCUCCUGCUUGCAUUCCAGAUUUCCCCACCAUGUUCUGGACAUCCAUUCUUAGCCUUAUAGUGAUGUGGUGUCCAGGUUUCAACACUCAGCUUGUGCUGUCUCAGCCACCAUCAGCCUCAGUGACUCUGGGAGACACAGUGAGGCUGGCCUGCAACAUGGACAGAGAGACCAGCAUUGGAACUUACCGUGUUUCCUGGUAUCAGAAGAAACCUGGGAUCCCCCCACGAUUCCUUUUAGGUUUCACUUCUGAUUCCAACAAGGUUCAGGGUUCUGGAGUCCCCUCUCGUUUCUCCGGUUCUAAAGACACUUCCAGUAAUGCUGGCUAUUUAGCCAUUGCAACAACAAUAGCAGAAGACGAGGCUGAUUAUUACUGUGCAGUACAUCCCUCCUAUCACAGUGACACAGACAGAUGGGGAAGCAAGACAAAAACCUCUACUGGAGUUCUCGAAGGGGCCCUGGUUCAGCCAUGCAUAUAA